CCGGCUGACUGGUUGCCAUCACAAUUAACUGCGUGCAUGCAUAAUAUGAGAUAAUUUGAGGCUGCGGGACCCUGUCUGAAGUAGGAGGGUCUGGACAGAGGGCGCUCAUUUCUUUCAGUUACUAAGUUCCGAGCGUGGUAAAUUACAGAGUAACGAGGAGAGGAACAUUUUAAGCUGCGAUGCCGAUGACUUUCAGUAACAGCGGGAUGACGUAUUAAGUCAUGCAACCUGAACUAACUGUAAGACAAAGAUGGAAAAGAAAUAGUCUGCUGUUUAGGUUCAGUGCUGCUUCGAGAGAGAUUUAUGUUUUUGUCAGCGGUCACAUCAUUGUGGAUAUGCACUUGUCUGCAGAACAACAGAAAUUAUAAAUGCUUUUAUUAAGUAUUGUACUACUUUUUGUACUGAAGCACUAAAGUGAGUGAUGUACUUAUCAUGAUCUGCUACACUUAUGGAUUAGCAAACGUUUCGACACUUCUCUAAGUUAAUCGUGUGGAAACCAGCACUGAAUUGUACUCUAUGCGUGGAUGCAUUUGUCAGUUUAUCUUCAACUUUCAAGUGUUACAUAAAAUAUAAACUCCAUAUUUUGUGCUAUCAUCUAUAAAAAACACAAUAAAAUUAUCCCAAUAGUCACAGAAAGUGUUAACUUAGCAGUAGUUUGUUUUAAUCGAAGCUUUUCAGAAAAUACUGUGAUCUAAGAAAUAAUAAGUUGCAUGACGUAAUAAUGAGAAUGUUUUGGUGCAGUGUAAUUGUAUUCGUCAACUAUUGAUAGCACUAAUAAAGGUAACUUUUAAUCAAA
rnacentral:misc_RNA from 1 species